rnacentral:rRNA from 1 species
CUCUCUUCGGAGAGAGUGGCAGACGGGUGAGUAACGCGUGGGAAUCUACCCAGUACUACGGAACAACAGUUAGAAAUGACUGCUAAUACCGUAUACGCCCUCCGGGGGAAAGAUUUAUCGGUAUUGGAUGAGCCCGCGUUUGAUUAGCUAGUUGGUGUGGUAAUGGCGCACCAAGGCGACGAUCAAUAGCUGGUCUGAGAGGAUGAUCAGCCACACUGGGACUGAGACACGGCCCAGACUCCUACGGGAGGCAGCAGUGGGGAAUAUUGGACAAUGGGCGCAAGCCUGAUCCAGCCAUGCCGCGUGUGUGAUGAAGGCCCUAGGGUUGUAAAGCACUUUCAACGGUGAAGAUAAUGACGGUAACCGUAGAAGAAGCUCCGGCUAACUUCGUGCCAGCAGCCGCGGUAAUACGAAGGGAGCUAGCGUUGUUCGGAAUUACUGGGCGUAAAGCGCGCGUAGGCGGGCUAUUAAGUUAGGGGUGAAAUCCCGGGGCUCAACCCCGGAACUGCCCUUGAUACUGGUAGUCUAGAGUUCGAGAGAGGUGAGUGGAAUUCCGAGUGUAGAGGUGAAAUUCGUAGAUAUUCGGANGAACACCAGUGGCGAANGCGGCUCACUGGCUCGAUACUGACGCUGANGUGCGAAAGUGUGNGGAGCAAACANGAUUAGAUACCCUGGUAGUCCACACCGUAAACGAUGGAUGCUAGCCGUUGGACAGUUUACUGUUCAGUGGNGCANCUAACGCAUUAAGCAUCCCGCCUGGGGNGUANGGUCGCAAGAUUAAAACUCAAAGGAANUGANNGGGGCCCGCACAAGCNGUGGAGCAUGUGNUUUNAUUCGAAGCAC